rnacentral:rRNA from 1 species
UGCUUGGGAAUAUGCCUUGAGGUGGGGGACAACAGUUGGAAACGACUGCUAAUACCGCAUAAUGUCUACGGACCAAAGAGGGGGACCUUCGGGCCUCUUGCCUUUAGAUUAGCCCAAGUGAGAUUAGCUAGUUGGUGAGGUAAUGGCUCACCAAGGCGACGAUCUCUAGCUGGUUUGAGAGGAUGAUCAGCCACACUGGGACUGAGACACGGCCCAGACUCCUACGGGAGGCAGCAGUAAGGAAUAUUGGACAAUGGGCGGAAGCCUGAUCCAGCCAUCCCGCGUGCAGGAUGACGGCCC